GCUCCGAUCGUCUAGUGGUCAAGGAUGCUGGCCUCUCACGCCAGUGACCCGGGUUCGAAUCCCGGUCGGAGCA
rnacentral:tRNA from 1 species